rnacentral:rRNA from 1 species
UACGGAGGGAGCUAGCGUUGUUCGGAAUUACUGGGCGUAAAGCGCACGUAGGCGGCUUUGUAAGUUAGAGGUGAAAGCCCGGGGCUCAACCCCGGAAUUGCCUUUAAGACUGCAUCGCUUGAAUCCGGGAGAGGUGAGUGGAAUUCCGAGUGUAGAGGUGAAAUUCGUAGAUAUUCGGAAGAACACCAGUGGCGAAGGCGGCUCACUGGACCGGUAUUGACGCUGAGGUGCGAAAGCGUGGGGAGCGAACGGG